rnacentral:rRNA from 1 species
CCCUUAGAUGUUCUGGGCUGCACACGUGCUACACUGGCAGGUUCAGCGAGCUUCAUGCCCUGAUCUGAAAGGAAUGGGAAAUCUUUUCAAAACCUGCCGUGCUUGGGAUAGAUGUUUGCAAUUAUUCAUCUUCAACGAGGAUUGCCUUGUAGGCGCACGUCACCAGCGUGCAUUGAAUACGACCCUGUAUUCUGUACACACCGCCCGUCGCUCCUACCGAUUGAAGUUUUCGGUGAGUUGACAGGAGGAUUUUUUUGAAACUGGUUCGCCAGUGGAUUUUAGAUCCAAAUGCCAACGAAUCGAUGGCUUUAGAGGAAGGAGAAGUCGUAACA